CCGGGAUGUGCCGGGAACGGGGAGCAGCCGGGGGGCUCCGGGUUGGGUGGCGCUCCGGCGGCCGCGUCUCCCGAGCGGUGAAAUGCAGGACGAGCGGCCCCGCCGUGCUGUUUCCUCCUCGGGGAGAGCUCGAAACGAGAGAGAAAGAGAGAGAGAGAGAGAGCGAGAGCGAGAGAGCGAUCGGUGGUGACUCGGGGGCUGACCGGGCUCUUGCUGGGGCUCGGCGGCCGCAGACGGUGGAUUUGUGGGAAGAGGACGGGAUGAGAAAUAAACGCACCUGGCCAGCGGUGUUUAGGGGAGCGGGGGCCGGGUGCCCCCGCUGGCUGCCGGAGCCCCUGGACUCCGGACGCGGACCCGCCGAGCUGCAAUGGACGCUGCCCGCCGCUGGCCGCAGAGCGGAGCAUCCCCGCCGCCGCCGCCGCCGCCGAGGAGGGAGAGCUGCCCGCCCGGAGCUGGCCCGCAGCGCGCCCCUCGCCCCAAGAGGGACCCGGAGUUUCCCCUUCGGCAUCGCUCCGGUGACCGCGGGCUGUGCCAGCCGGCCGCCCAGAUAGGUUGCGUGGCAGCCACGGCGCGAGCGAAUAGAACUCCUUGGAUGUGUCGGAAGUAAGCGCCGGGAGCAUUUGGUGAUCUUUGUGGGAGGAAGGCACAAGCCACCCAGGCCCUGUUCCCUCCAUCUUGAGCCUUCCAUGGUGAUUUGCAGCAGCACAGGGAAGUAUGAAGCACUGAGGGACAGAAGUCAGUGUUUAAACCUGACUUCACUUCAGCAUUAAUGACCACGCAAGUUUCACAUAACAGAGGACCAGGGCUAGCAUAGCAGAAGUACUUAAGGUGCCUCUUUUAAAAGUUCUCUUUUGCAUAUCUAAAGAUUAGGGAGCUGUUUAGAAAAGAUGAUUAUACAAGUGUUUUUAUUUACUGUCCUAAGAGAGGAUGAUGAUCCGCAUUAUCUUACAUGCAUCUUCGGUGCAUCUGUAUCACCAUAUAGAUUUCAGGGGAGCUGUAUUGAUUUAAGUUAGUAAAGAAACCCAGUGAAGUUUUAAAUAAUUGGAAUAAUAUUCUCCCUCUCUUUCAGUCAGAUUUGCCCUUCAUGUUACUUGUGUUUCAUAAUCCUCCUAGCCCUCCAUUUCGUCAUUACAAGACCAGCAUCUCUACAGUAAAAAAAAAAAAGAGAGGACAACCCCCCCGCAGAAAAAAAAAAGCUCUUUUUACAAUCUUCUAUUUAUAUUAAUGUUUAAAUAAAUUUAGGGCACAAACUGAUCCUGUUUUUUUAAUAGGCCUAUUUAGUUUCAUUUACUUACAUGGGUAUUUUUUUGGAACCAGAAGCUCUCAGGAAGAGAAUGUGUUCAAUGCAGCAAUACCCUUUAGGGUUUUGAUAAAAGACAUGAUAUCAUGAGUAUCAUCACCACUUCUGUUAUUCUUCUUAUAUAGUAGCGACGAGAUUGAAUCACCAUUUUUAGCUAUUCUUCAGCAGAACUCGUAAUCUAUCAAUGUGUCAGCUCAACAGCAGUUUUCUCUUCACACUAAUGUGAACCAGAAGGUCCAGCUAUCACUGAUUUUGACAAUUUUAUCUGAGAUUGCAUGUAUUGCAGAAGUUUUAAGCAGAUGAAUUAUGGGGCCAGUUAUAUUUUCCUAAAGAUGUACAAAACAUAGAAUGCAUCACCUAAAACGUUUCAAACUAAUUUGUACCUGAUAACAUUCCUAUGUUUGGUGUUUCAUAAGCCUUACGAUAGAAGCACUGUGAAAUAUUUGUCUGAUAAAUAACAAGAAUGAGAUCAAA